UACGUAGGUGGCAAGCGUUGUCCGGAUUUAUUGGGUUUAAAGGGUGCGUAGGCGGUCUAUUAAGUCAGUGCUGAAAUAUCCCGGCUUAACCGGGAGGGUGGCAUUGAUACUGAUGGGCUUGAGUGGAGUCGAGGUAGGCGGAAUUGACGGUGUAGCGGUGAAAUGCUUAGAUAUCGUCAAGAACACCGAUAGUGUAGACAGCUUACUAGACUUCAACUGACGCUGAGGCACGAAAGUGUGGGGAUCAAACAGGAUUAGAAACCCCAGUAGUCC
rnacentral:rRNA from 1 species